CCGGGGGCGGGGGCUCGCGAUCGGCAGAUUUCACGUCACCCAAUGAGACGACGCGACGGCGGCGGCCCCAUUCAUGCUGUGGGCGCGGCCACGGGAGGGAGGCGGUUACUCCGUCAAGCGCGUGAGGCGUGUGUGAAAGCCGGUUGUAACUGUCACCGCUCCUAAUAAUUGGGGACGUUCUAAUUUAUAUCGCGAUAUGACGAUUUAUAUUAUACAUAUAGACAGACAUCCGCACAUGUGGAAGGGAUACAGCAGCGCCGACUUAGGGAAGGAAGUGUUGAGAUAUAUUGUUGAUAUUACAAUAUAUCUGUGGUUUUUAAAAAGCAUGCAGAUUAUUGAUCUUGAGGAACUGGCUAUCUGCAUCAGGCCCGACUCUGAAAAUGUUGGAGGCAGAAGUAGAGAAAAUUAAAAAUAUGGAAAAAUUUAGAGCCAAGUCGGCCAAAUCAUUGGCCCAAUGGGGGGAAAGCCUGGAGGCUGGGGUGAUCAAUAGAAUUGUAUAAUGGUGCCAUUUGAAUAAUGAUAAAAGCCUCUGUUACAAAAUCAUAGAACAGCACAAAAGAAAAACAAUACAAAGAAUGCACAAGUGUUAUAGGGCUGAUGUUUACAUCUGUACUGUGGUCUGGGUGUAGGUGUGUUACAGUAGGGGCAAAGCAGAGCUUAAUUCAAGGCAGAAUAGUGGGUCAUGUUUUUACGACUUGCUGGACGAUCACAGCACAUUCUCUGCACUCCUUCACAUUGGAGAAUACAAGGGAAGGAGUGUGCUUACAGGAAUUUAAUUUCCGAGCCAAGAAAUCUAUGAAGCCCCUAUCAAUGUGCGAAACAGUGUCAAGUACUGGGCUUCCUCUUCUACCAUCCCAUGCGUUUUCUAGGAAAAUAUGUGAAACGUGCAGCCAAGUUUAUCAUUCUUUCAGUGUUCUGCCUCAUUCUCUUCUUACAUUCCUCACAUGAACUUUUUAAGGUUCACAGUGGAGCAAAUAUAUACGUCUCCAAGUGAAUGUUUCCAUUCGGACAAAUACAAUUUAACCUCAUGAUAACAUUUUUCUAUUGACAUUUUGGAACCCAGAUGGUAGGAGAACAAUAUUAUGAAAGCUGUCAACAAGGCUACACAGUCUGCUAUCCAGAUUUGUGUAGCAGUCUGGGUACCACUGUAUACCUCCAUAUACAACCAUGAGACCUAAUAUAUUAAUUAUACAUAAUGGUAGGGUCACAUGUGCCAUAUUUAGAUGCAUAAAAUUAGUCACGUGUGCCCCUACCCUUAAAAGUUAUUAGCUCCUCUGGAGCAGUGUCGGGCUGGGGUGCCAAGGGCCCACCAGUGGAAUCGCCAAAGCCAGUUAGCCACAGUGGCCCAGAUUUACCAAUCUAUCUGAGACAAAAACUCUCUGAUUUCCCAAUAGCAACUGAUCAUGGCUCAGCUUUCAUUUCUUUUUGGUAAAAUGACAGCUUUGGUAAAAGUUUCUAUGGCAGUGUUUUCCAAAUAGGGUGCCAUCAGCUGUCGAACAACUACAACUGCUAGCAUGUAGUUGUGCAACAGUUUUAGGCCCCCUAUUUGGGAAACACUGCUAUGGGCAAAUUAUACAGUUAUAAUAAAUCAGCCCCAUUAAGUGACUUUGUCUCUGUUAAUACUAGACAUAAGGGGACCCAUUUUAGCUAGUUGGGUUUUAGAUAGAGCUUUCCUGUUUAUAGUAGAGUAGCAGGACAAAUGCCCAUAAAAAUUGGAGCAAAGCUGGACAAACUUGGCAGUUUUUGCUGGUCCAACUGUCUCAUGUGUAUUAGGGAGCACUGAAGGACAGGGCUUAGUGAAUUUCAAUGUCUGAUUCUUUUGUUCUCUCUAGGUGUCUGGAGAAGUGUUAAGCAGCAGCUUAUUUUUCUCCCUAUUUCUCCCUAAUGAGAAUACAUGCAUACUUGGCUGAACUGAGCAUGCAUGUGUUUGUGGAAGACAGGAGGUACAGCUGUGGCUGAACUAUCAAUAGGACAACAGUUGGAAGUUCUUUUGCCAUCUUGAGACACUGCAUUUGGAAAAGGGAGAUGUGCGGGCAUUUAUCAAUGUCUUUAGAGCUGUUUUUGGGUGUAGAUUUGUCUCUAUAUUGGCGCAGCACUGCACCUCAGGCUAUUUUUCGCGACUUUUGGGUUUGCACCUUUUCUAAAAAGAGUGUACAGACCAGCUGUUAAGAUUAGUCUUGUGCAGUGGUAAUGAAUUUAUCAACUGUGACUUUCGCAAAAAACAUAAAGUGGCGAUUCUAAACCAGCCAAGACCUAGCGUAGCUUUUUGGUGUAUGUGAAGAGUGAAAUUUCAGAAAACGAGUAUCCUCCACAAAAAUGUAUCAAAUGCCGUGCGACCAUUUAAUAAAUUUGGCGGAUUCACGCAAAAAAAAAAAAAAAAAACUCAAAAAGAAAGGACUAAAAAAUUAACUACAUCACACAUAUCUUAUGUAAAUGCCCCCCAUGGUGCCAACCAUCUUCCUCUGGUGUCACCAGAGCUGAUCCUAUACCACCUGUAUGUGUAUAGGUCAGAAAGUGCUGAUUGUCACCCUCUACCUCCAUUAAUAGUAGUACCUUUUAUUAAAACUAUUUCAGACUGUCUAGGAAUUAUUACUCCCAAUAACAAAAUGAGGGACCUGACACCUUUCAAAACUAAUUUAUAGGUAUUCUGUAUCACAAUCAGUUUAUUUAUCAACUAAUAUUUCAGACUGUCUAUGAACUGAUUGGGUUUAAUGGGAGACCUAUGAAUUAUUUCGAGGGGCUGUCAGAUGUUUCAUUUUGCUAUUGUGAGCAUGUGAAAUUCUUGCCACUAACUUAUAAAUGGAUUUUCUCAAGCACAUAGUCAAAGUAUAUGUUACCGUCUAUUUAUUUUUGUUCU